UACGGAGGGUGCGAGCGUUGUCCGGAAUCACUGGGCGUAAAGGGCGCGUAGGCGGCCUGAUAAGUAGGGGGUGAAAUCCCCCGGGCUUAACCUGGGAACUGCGUUUCUAACUGGCAGGCUUGAGUGUGGCAGAGGGGGGGUGGAAUUCCACGUGUAGCAGUGAAAUGCGUAGAGAAUGUGGAGGAACACCGAUGGCGAAGGCAGCCCCCUGGGCUAACACUGACGCCUCAUGCACGAAAGCUG
rnacentral:rRNA from 1 species